GAUGAGCAUGCGUCCCAUUAGCUAGUUGGUAAGGUAACGGCUUACCAAGGCUACGAUGGGUAGGGGUCCUGAGAGGGAGAUCCCCCACACUGGUACUGAGACACGGACCAGACUCCUACGGGAGGCAGCAGUGAGGAAUAUUGGACAAUGGGCGCAAGCCUGAUCCAGCCAUGCCGCGUGCAGGAUGACGGUCCUAUGGAUUGUAAACUGCUUUUAUACGAGAAGAAACACUCCUUCGUGAAGGAGCUUGACGGUAUCGUAAGAAUAAGGAUCGGCUAACUCCGUGCCAGCAGCCGCGGUAAUACGGAGGAUCCAAGCGUUAUCCGGAAUCAUUGGGUUUAAAGGGUCCGUAGGCGGUUUAAUAAGUCAGUGGUGAAAGCCCAUCGCUCAACGGUGGAACGGCCAUUGAUACUGUUAAACUUGAAUUAUUAGGAAGUAACUAGAAUAUGUAGUGUAGCGGUGAAAUGCUUAGAGAUUACAUGGAAUACCAAUUGCGAAGGCAGGUUACUA
rnacentral:rRNA from 1 species